AGUGAACGCUGGCGGCGUGCCUAAUACAUGCAAGUCGAACGGAGAUUAAGUAGCUUGCUAUUUAAUCUUAGUGGCGCACGGGUGAGCAAUAUAUAGCUAACUUGCCCAUUACUAAGGGACAACAGUUGGAAACGACUGCUAAUACCUUAUACUCCGUAUCUAUAUAAGUAGAUACGGGAAAGUUUUUCGGUAAUGGAUAGGGCUAUAUCGUAUCAGCUAGUUGGUAAGGUAAUGGCUUACCAAGGCUAUGACGCGUAACUGGUCUGAGAGGAUGAUCAGUCACACUGGAACUGAGACACGGUCCAGACUCCUACGGGAGGCAGCAGUAGGGAAUAUUGCUCAAUGGGGGAAACCCUGAAGCAGCAACGCCGCGUGGAGGAUGACACUUUUCGGAGCGUAAACUCCUUUUCUUGGGAAAGAAUUAUGACGGUACCCAAGGAAUAAGCACCGGCUAACUCCGUG
rnacentral:rRNA from 1 species